CCUACGGGGGGCAGCAGUAGGGAAUCUUCCACAAUGGGCGAGAGCCUGAUGGAGCAACGCCGCGUGGGUGAAGAAGGUCUUCGGAUCGUAAAACCUUGUUGUUAGAGAAGAAAGAGCGUGAGAGUAACUGUUCACGUUUCGACGGUAUCUAACCAGAAAGCCACGGCUAACUACGUGCCAGCAGCCGCGGUAAUACGUAGGUGGCAAGCGUUAUCCGGAUUUAUUGGGCGUAAAGGGAACGCAGGCGGUCUUUUAAGUCUGAUGUUAAAGCCUUCGGCUUAACCGGAGUAGUGCAUUGGAAACUGGGAGACUUGAGUGCAGAAGAGGAGAGUGGAACUCCAUGUGUAGCGGUGAAAUGCGUAGAUAUAUGGAAGAACACCAGUGGCGAAGGCGGCUCUCUGGUCUGUAACUGACGCUGAGGUUCGAAAGCGUGGGUAGCAAACAGGAUUAGAUACCCUAGUAGUC
rnacentral:rRNA from 1 species